rnacentral:rRNA from 1 species
GAUGAACGCUGGCGGCGUGCUUAACACAUGCAAGUCGAACGGAAAGGCGCUGCUUUUGCGGGGUGCUCGUGUGGCGAACGGGUGAGUAACACGCGAGUAACAUGCCCUUGUCUUUGGGAUAACUUUAGGAAACUGGGGCUAAUAUCGGAUAGGAGCUCCUGCUGCACGGUGGGGGUUGGAAAGUUUCGGCGGUUGGGGCUGGACUCGCGGCUUAUCAGCUUGUUGGUGGGGUAGUGGAUUACAAAGGCUUUGACGGGUAGCCGGCCUGAGAGGGUGACCGGCCACAAGGGGACUGAGAUACGACCCAGAAGCCUACGGGAGGCAGCAGUGGGGAAUAUUGCACAAUGGGCGGAAGCCUGAGACAGCGACGCCGCGUGCGUGAUGACGGCCUUCGAGUUGUAAACCGCUUUCGCCUGUAACGAAGCGUGAGUGACGGUAAUGGGUAAAGAAGCACCGGCUAACUACGUG